rnacentral:rRNA from 3 species
GCCCUAGUAACGGCGAGUGAAGCGGCAACAGCUCAAAUUUGAAAUCUGGCCCCCGGGUCCGAGUUGUAAUUUGUAGAGGAUGCUUUUGGUGCGGUACCUUCCGAGUUCCCUGGAACGGGACGCCAUAGAGGGUGAGAGCCCCGUCUGGUUGGACGCCAAUCCUUUGUAAAGCUCCUUCAACGAGUCGAGUAGUUUGGGAAUGCUGCUCUAAAUGGGAGGUAUAUGUCUUCUAAAGCUAAAUAUUGGCCAGAGACCGAUAGCGCACAAGUAGAGUGAUCGAAAGAUGAAAAGCACUUUGAAAAGAGAGUUAAAAAGUACGUGAAAUUGUUGAAAGGGAAGCGCUCAUGACCAGACUUGGGCUUGGUUGAUCAUCCAGGGUUCUCCCUGGUGCACUCUUCCGGCCCAGGCCAGCAUCAGUUCGCUGUGGGGGAUAAAGGCUUCGGGAAUGUGGCUCCCUCGGGAGUGUUAUAGCCCGUUGUGUAAUACCCUGUGGUGGACUGAGGUUCGCGCAUUCGCAAGGAUGCUGGCGUAAUGGUCAUCAGCGACCCGUCUUGAAACACGGACCAAGGAGUCGUCUUCGUAUGCGAGUGUUCGGGUGUCAAACCCCUACGCGUAAUGAAAGUGAACGCAGGUGAGAGCUUCGGCGCAUCAUCGACCGAUCCUGAUGUUCUCGGAUGGAUUUGAGUAAGAGCAUACGGGGCCGGACCCGAAAGAAGGUGAACUAUGCCUGUAUAGGGUGAAGCCAGAGGAAACUCUGGUGGAGGCUCGCAGCGGUUCUGACGUGCAAAUCGAUCGUCAAAUAUGGGCAUGGGGGCGAAAGACUAA